CUCUCGGUCGUCUAGUUGGUUUAUGACGUCAGACUGUAAUUGUAAUUGGAAUUGGAAUCUGGAUGUCGCGCGUUCGACUCGCGCCUGAGAGA